GGGUGNNNUANAUGGACUACCAGGGUAUUAAUUGGACUACCCAGGGUAUNUAAUNGACUAACCAGGGUAUCUAAAUUUGAGUUUUGAUCCUGGCUCAGGAUGAACGCUGGCGGCGUGCUUAACACAUGCAAGUCGAACGGGAUCCAUCGGGCUUUGCUUGGUGGUGAGAGUGGCGAACGGGUGAGUAAUGCGUGACCGACCUGCCCCAUGCACCGGAAUAGCUCCUGGAAACGGGUGGUAAUGCCGGAUGUUCCAGUUGAUCGCAUGGUCUUCUGGGAAAGCUUUCGCGGUAUGGGAUGGGGUCGCGUCCUAUCAGCUUGACGGCGGGGUAACGGCCCACCGUGGCUUCGACGGGUAGCCGGCCUGAGAGGGCGACCGGCCACAUUGGGACUGAGAUACGGCCCAGACUCCUACGGGAGGCAGCAGUGGGGAAUAUUGCACAAUGGGCGCAAGCCUGAUGCAGCGACGCCGCGUGAGGGAUGGAGGCCUUCGGGUUGUAAACCUCUUUUAUCGGGGAGCAAGCGUGAGUGAGUUUACCCGUUGAAUAAGCACCGGCUAACUACGUGCCAGCAGCCGCGGUAAUACGUAGGGUGCAAGCGUUAUCCGGAAUUAUUGGGCGUAAAGGGCUCGUAGGCGGUUCGUCGCGUCCGGUGUGAAAGUCCAUCGCUUAACGGUGGAUCCGCGCCGGGUACGGGCGGGCUUGAGUGCGGUAGGGGAGACUGGAAUUCCCGGUGUAACGGUGGAAUGUGUAGAUAUCGGGAAGAACACCAAUGGCGAAGGCAGGUCCUCUGUGGUCCCGUUACUGACGCGUAGGUAG
rnacentral:rRNA from 1 species